rnacentral:rRNA from 1 species
AGUGAACGCUGGCGGUAGGCCUAACACAUGCAAGUCGAACGGCAGCACAGGAGAGCUUGCUCUCUGGGUGGCGAGUGGGCGGACGGGUGAGGAAUACAUCGGAAUCUACCUUUCGUGGGGGAUAACGUAGGGAAACUUACGCUAAUACCGCAUAAGACCUUCGGGUGAAAGCAGGGGACCUUCGGGCCUUGCGCGGAUAGAUGAGCCGAUGUCGGAUUAGCUUGUUGGCGGGGUAAAAGCCCACCAAGGCGACGAUCCGUAGCUGGUCUGAGAGGAUGAUCAGCCACACUGGAACUGAGACACGGUCCAGACUCCUACGGGAGGCAGCAGUGGGGAAUAUUGGACAAUGGGCGCAAGCCUGAUCCAGCCAUACCGCGUGGGUGAAGAAGGCCUUCGGGUUGUAAAGCCCUUUUGUUGGGAAAGAAAACUUGCGGGCUAAUACCCAGCAAGUCUGACGGUACCCAAAGAAUAAGCACCGGCUAACUUCGUG